rnacentral:rRNA from 1 species
CAGUGGCGAAGGCGGCUCACUGGCUCGAUACUGACGCUGAGGUGCGAAAGUGUGGGGAGCGAACAGGAUUAGAUACCCUGGUAGUCCACGCCCUAAACGAUGUCAACUAGGUGUGUGAGAGUCUAACUCUUGCGUAUCGAAGCUAACGCGAUAAGUUGACCGCCUGGGGAGUACGGCCGCAAGGCUAAAACUCAAAUGAAUUGACGGGGGCCCGCACAAGCGGUGGAGCAUGUGGUUUAAUUCGAUGCAACGCGAAGAACCUUACCUGGUCUUGACAUGUAGCGAAGGUUAGAGAGAUCUGACUGUGCCUUCGGGAACGCUAACACAGGUGCUGCAUGGCUGUCGUCAGCUCGUGUCGUGAGAUGUUGGGUUAAGUCCCGCAACGAGCGCAACCCUCACUUUUAGUUGCCAUCAUUAAGUUGGGCACUCUGAAAGAACUGCCAGUGAUAAGCUGGAGGAAGGUGGGGAUGACGUCAAGUCCUCAUGGCCCUUACGUGUUGGGCUACACACGUGCUACAAUGGCAUCUACAACAGGAAGCAAAACGGCAACGUUAAGCAAAUCCCGAAAAGAUGCCUCAGUUCGGAUUGCACUCUGCAACUCGAGUGCAUGAAGCUGGAAUUACUAGUAAUCGUGGAUCAGCGUGCCACGGUGAAUGCGUUCCCGGGUCUUGUACACACCGCCCGUCACACCAUGGGAGUUGGUUCUACCUUAAGGCAAGGUUUUAAACCCUUGACCACGGUAUAGUCAGCGACUGGGGUGAAGUCGUAACAAGGUAACCGUA